CCUACGGGAGGCAGCAGUGAGGAAUAUUGGACAAUGGGCGCAAGCCUGAUCCAGCCAUGCCGCGUGCAGGAAGAAGCAUCUAUGGCGUGUAAACUGCUUUUGUACAGGAAGAAACACUCCCUCGUGAGGGAGCUUGACGGUACUGUAAGAAUAAGGACCGGCUAACUCCGUGCCAGCAGCCGCGGUAAUACGGAGGGUCCGAGCGUUAUCCGGAAUCAUUGGGUUUAAAGGGUCCGUAGGCGGUUUAAUAAGUCAGUGGUGAAAUCUGGUCGCUCAACGAUCAAACGGCCAUUGAUACUGUUAGACUUGAAUUAUAAGGAAGUAACUAGAAUAUGUAGUGUAGCGGUGAAAUGCUUAGAUAUUACAUGGAAUACCAAUUGCGAAGGCAGGUUACUACUUAUGGAUUGACGCUGAUGGACGAAAGCGUGGGGAGCGGAACAGGAUUAGAUACCCUGGUAGUCCACGCCGUAAACGAUGGAUACUAGCUGUUCGGAGCAACCUGAGUGGCUAAGCGAAAGUGAUAAGUAUCCACCUGGGGAGUACGUUCGCAAGAAUUGAAACUUNAAAUGAGUUGNGNGNGAGAGNGCGAGACGACGACGAGGAGAGG
rnacentral:rRNA from 1 species